rnacentral:rRNA from 1 species
GCGAAUACCGGAGAAUGUUAUCACGGGAGACACACGGCGGGUGCUAACGUCCGUCGUGAAGAGGGAAACAACCCAGACCGCCAGCUAAGGUCCCAAAGUCAUGGUUAAGUGGGAAACGAUGUGGGAAGGCCCAGACAGCCAGGAUGUUGGCUUAGAAGCAGCCAUCAUUUAAAGAAAGCGUAAUAGCUCACUGGUCGAGUCGGCCUGCGCGGAAGAUGUAACGGGGCUAAACCAUGCACCGAAGCUGCGGCAGCGAACGUAUCACUUAAAGCGAUUCAGCGGGUUACGAUUGACGGAGCGAAGCGACGUCAAAGCGUAUACAAAGUCGAGUCGGUUUAAGGAUACGUUCGUUGGGUAGGGGAGCGUUCUGUAAGCCUGUGAAGGUGGCCUGUGAGGGUUGCUGGAGGUAUCAGAAGUGCGAAUGCUGACAUAAGUAACGAUAAAGCGGGUGAAAAGCCCGCUCGCCGGAAGACCAAGGGUUCCUGUCCAACGUUAAUCGGGGCAGGGUGAGUCGACCCCUAAGGCGAGGCCGAAAGGCGUAGUCGAUGGGAAACGGGUUAAUAUUCCCGUACUUGGUGUUACUGCGAAGGGGGGACGGAGAAGGCUAUGUUGGCCGGGCGACGGUUGUCCCGGUUUAAGCGUGUAGGUGUGUGUUCCAGGUAAAUCCGGUU